rnacentral:rRNA from 1 species
UACGAAGGGGGCUAGCGUUGUUCGGAUUUACUGGGCGUAAAGCGCGUGUAGGCGGGUCGUUAAGAUGGGGGUGAAAGCCCGGAGCUCAACUCCGGAACUGCCUUCAUGACUGGCGGCCUGGACCCAAGGAGAGGCAAGUGGAAUUGCGAGUGUAGAGGUGAAAUUCGUAGAUAUUCGCAGGAACACCAGUGGCGAAGGCGACUUGCUGGACUUGUGGUGACGCUGAGACGCGAAAGCGUGGGGAGCAAACAGG